rnacentral:rRNA from 1 species
AAGGGGGCUAGCGUUGCUCGGAAUUACUGGGCGUAAAGGGCGCGUAGGCGGCUCAUACAGUCAGGCGUGAAAUUCCUGGGCUCAACCUGGGGGCUGCGCUUGAGACGUGUGGGCUUGAGGACAGGAGAGGCUCGUGGAAUUCCCAGUGUAGAGGUGAAAUUCGUAGAUAUUGGGAAGAACACCGGUGGCGAAGGCGGCGAGCUGGCCUGUAACUGACGCUGAGGCGCGACAGCGUGGGGAGCAAACAGG